rnacentral:rRNA from 1 species
AUUGAACGCUGGCGGCAGGCCUAACACAUGCAAGUCGAACGAGUGGCGGACGGGUGAGUAAUGUAUGGGGAACUGCCUGAUAGAGGGGGAUAACUACUGGAAACGGUGGCUAAUACCGCAUACCAUCAGAUGUACCCAGAUGGGAUUAGCUAGUUGGUGGGGUAACGGCUCACCAAGGCGACGAUCCCUAGCUGGUCUGAGAGGAUGACCGGCCACACUGGAACGGGUACACGGCCCAGACCCCUACGGGAGGCAGCAGUGGGGAAUAUUGCACAAUGGGCGCAAGCCUGAUGCAGCCAUGCCGCGUGUAUGAAGAAGGCCUUCGGGUUGUAAAGUACUUUCAUCGGGGAGGCGUUACCCGCAGAAGAAGCACCGGCUAACUCCGUGCCAGCAGCCGCGGUAAUUC